rnacentral:rRNA from 1 species
UACGAAGGGGGCUAGCGUUGCUCGGAAUUACUGGGCGUAAAGCGCACGUAGGCGGAUUGUUAAGUCGGGGGUGAAAUCCUGGAGCUCAACUCCAGAACUGCCUUCGAUACUGGCGAUCUCGAGUUCGGGAGAGGUGAGUGGAACUGCGAGUGUAGAGGUGAAAUUCGUAGAUAUUUGCAAGAACACCAGUGGCGAAGGCGGCUCACUGGCCCGAUACUGACGCUGAGGUGCGAAAGCGUGGGGAGCAAACAGG